GUCAGCUUAUGAUAAAAUACAUUCAUUUCAUAGUAUAGAGUCUAUCGACUCUAGGUACUUGCCCUGCAUGAAGUAAUGCAGAAGUGCAACAGAAAUACACAUAUUCAAAGACGAAAUGGAAAUGGAACACCCAAAAAGAAAAGUUUCAUAAUUUAUGCUAUCAUUAUAUAAACCACUUAUUGAAAUUCAAACAAAGCAUGCAGCGAAUGACAGGAACCCAAUUUCGAAAUCCAAAGUAGAACGUUGGUUAAAGGAGAAAGGAAUAGGAAGUAAAUAAGUGGGACUUGGAUAUUAGGAAGAGUGGGCAAAUAUGAUUAAGACAGAGGAGGGAGUGGCGGCAGAGGUGGAAGUGGCGGCAGAGGUGGAAGUGGCGGCAGAGGUGGGAGUGGCGGCAGAGGUGGGAGUGGAGGCUGAGGGAGGGCUCCACACGAAGGUGGGACCGUUAUUGGACGUGCUAGUAAUAAUGUAAUGUCCAUGGUUGAAAAGAAAAUAGCAAAGAUUAAAGAAAAAAUGGUGCAACGAUAAGGGGCCAUGACUGGGUUGAAUUUCAGAUGUAGAUAUGCUGAAGUGAAGAACAA
rnacentral:sRNA from 1 species